rnacentral:rRNA from 1 species
AUGCACGCUGGCUACAGGCUUCACACAUGCCAGUCGAGGGGAAACGACGGGGAAGCUUGCUUCCCCGGGCGUCGACCGGCGCACGGGUGAGUAACGCGUAUCCAACCUGCCUCUGACUGAGGGAUAACCCGUCGAAAGUCGGCCUAAUACCUCAUGGUAUCGUCUGCGGGCAUCCAACGACGAUUAAAGAUUUCAUCGGUCAGGGAUGGGGAUGCGUCUGAUUAGCUUGUUGGCGGGGUAACGGCCCACCAAGGCUACGAUCAGUAGGGGUUCUGAGAGGAAGGUCCCCCACAUUGGAACUGAGACACGGUCCAAACUCCUACGGGAGGCAGCAGUGAGGAAUAUUGGUCAAUGGGCGAGAGCCUGAACCAGCCAAGUAGCGUGCAGGAAGACGGCCCUAUGGGUUGUAAACUGCUUUUAUGCGGGGAUAAAGUGAGGGACGUGUCCCUCAUUGCAGGUACCGCAUGAAUAAGGACCGGCUAAUUCCGUG